rnacentral:rRNA from 1 species
CUACGGGAGGCUCCAGUGGGGAAUAUUGCACAAUGGAGGAAACUCUGAUGCAGCAACGCCGCGUGGAGGAUGACACUUUUCGGAGCGUAAACUCCUUUUAUAUAGGAAGAAGAUGACGGUACUAUAUGAAUAAGCGCCGGCUAACUCCGUGCCAGCAGCCGCGGUAAUACGGAGGGCGCAAGCGUUACUCGGAAUCACUGGGCGUAAAGAGCGUGUAGGCGGAUUAAAAAGUCAGAAGUGAAAUCCUAUAGCUUAACUAUAGAACUGCCUCUGAAACUCUUAAUCUAGAAUAUGGGAGAGGUAGAUGGAAUUUCUGGUGUAGGGGUAAAAUCCGUAGAGAUCAGAAGGAAUACCGAUUGCGAAGGCGAUCUACUAGAACAUCAUUGACGCUGAGACGCGAAAGCGUGGGGAGCAAACAGGAUUAGAUACCCUAGUAGUC